rnacentral:rRNA from 1 species
UACGGAGGGGGGCGAGCGUUAUUCGGAAUUAUUGGGCGUAAAGGGCGCGUAGGCGGCCUUGUAAGUCAAAGGUGAAAUCCCUCGGCUCAACCGAGGAAUUGCCUUUGAAACUGCGAGGCUUGAGUCCGGGAGAGGGUAGCGGAAUUCCCAGUGUAGCGGUGAAAUGCGUAGAUACUGGGAGGAACACCAGUGGCGAAGGCGGCUACCUGGACCGGAACUGACGCUGAGGCGCGAAAGCGUGGGGAGCAAACAGG